AGCUGCUGCGGCCCAGGAAAAAAUCCCACCGCCCAUUUGCCGUAAAAUCCGUUUGACAUACGACCCAUUUGAUUCAUCCAGUGCUAAUGAUCCGGGAACCCAUGUUCUUAAUGUGGAUCCCGUUUAUGAACCCAUCCCUCGUAAUCGCCCCCUUCGAAGAAUUUUGGAAUUUUUUUAAGUUAGUGUUCGGGAUUUUCUUUUGUGCAGGAUGGAUUGGGUUUUUAGGUUUUUUAAUUUUGGAUUUGCAAGUUGUUCGAACAACCUUAGCUGGAAUAUUGUUGGAGUGUAAUGGAGAAUUCGAGUUUAUAAUUUCAAGAUUGGGUAGAUUUAUUUGUGGGUAUUAGCUAAAAAAGUUUUGAAUUCAAAAGAAGGGGCUUGAAUUUGAAUGCUGAUGAACGUAACUCUGCAAUUACGCGAUGCCAUUGUGGCGGCAAGUCGGAGAAACGGAGACGAGUUUCCGGUGCCACUUGGAAGAAACACCAAGUGAGGAAGAAAGUUGUCUGAACAUUUCAAUAAAU
rnacentral:lncRNA from 1 species